AGGUAGUGACAAGAAAUAACAAUACAGGGCAUAUGUCUUGUAAUUGGAAUGAUGCCGACUUAAACCCUCGGCAGAGUACCAAUUGGAGGGCAAGUCUGGUGCCAGCAGCCGCGGUAAUUCCAGCUCCAAUAGCGUAUAUUAAACUUGUUGCAGUUAAAAAGCUCGUAGUUGAAUUUGAGCUUGCGCGAUUCCGUUAUUGGAGUAUUGCGCUUGCUUUUUUGUUACUUUGAGAAAAUUAGAGUGUUUCAAGCAGACUUUUGUCUUGGAUACUUCAGCAUGGAAUAAUAGAGUAGGACCUUGGUUCUAUUUUGUUGGUUUUG
rnacentral:rRNA from 1 species